GACGAACGCUGGCGGCGUGCUUAACACAUGCAAGUCGAACGAAGUGGCGAACGGGUGAGUAACGCGUAAUCAACCUGCCCUUCCGAGGGGGACAACAGUUGGAAACGACUGCUAAUACCGCAUACUGAAGGAGGGGAUUGCGUCUGAUUAGCUAGUUGGAGGGGUAACGGCCCACCAAGGCGAUGAUCGGUCGACGGUCUGAGAGGAUGAACGGCCAAAUUGGGAAGGAGACACGGCACAGAAUCCGACGGGUGGCAGCAGUGGGGAAACUUGCGCAAUGGAAGAAAGGCUGAAGGGGGAACGACGGGUGAGGGAGGACGGCCUUCGGGUUGUAAAGCUCUGGUAAUCGGGACACGGUACCGGAAUAGAAAGCCACGGCGAACUACGUGCCAGCAGCCGCGGUAAUUC
rnacentral:rRNA from 1 species